GUGGCGUGAUGAACGUGUUUAUCCAUUCGCUGAGCGCUGCUGGGUCUGUCCCUCGGCGGCCGUGCGGUCCGUUCUGGGCCGCGGGGUUACAGUGGUCUGGUUCUGCUCGGCUGCUCCAAUGUUCUAUUGGGUCGACCGCGGCGGGAUCUGACACUGGUGCGAGGGUCAGGCCGGCUCUGACAAAGACGAAUAGACGUGUCUGAUCAC